CACGGAGUUAGCCGGGACUUCUUCUGCGGGUACCGUCAUUAUCUUCCCCGCUGAAAGGGGUUUACAACCCUAGGGCCUUCUUCACCCACGCGGCAUGGCUGCAUCAGGCUUUCGCCCAUUGUGCAAUAUUCCCCA
rnacentral:rRNA from 1 species